rnacentral:lncRNA from 1 species
UGGCUGACCCACAGGGAGAGGUCCUUCCUCAGGCCCCAGCUCAGGGCCCUGCCCCGAGGGCCCGGGAUCCCCACAGUGCAGCAGCCCAGGACACGACUCUGUACCGGCUGGAGCUCGUUGUCUGGACGCUCUUGGGCUCCAUCCUGCUCGGCCAUCAGUGUUGUCGUCCCCCUCAUCGACGCUGUCUCUGCUGUCUCCGCCAUCUCUGCUGUGUCCGCCGUGUCUGCUGUUGCUGCUGUCUCUGCCUAGCUGAAAUCAAUGCAUCUGCUCAGCUGCUUCACCACUUGAGUUAUUUACAGCUUUGAUCUAAGUGAG